rnacentral:piRNA from 1 species
UGGAAGAAGGACCUGCAUAGUGA